AAACGCGUCGGGUGCUACCAUGCAGUUAAACGCAGCUCCAUCCGAUUUCAGGGUCGUUAAAAGCACUCACUGGCGCAACGGGUGCGUAACACGUGAGAAACCUGCCCCAGGUCUCUGUGGUAUAACACGUUGGAAACGACUGCUAAUACCGGAUGCCGUCGGACCGUCGCAUGGCGGACCGACGAAAGGGUUACCGGAUCGGGAGGGUCUCGCGGCACUAUCAGACUUGUUGGGUGAGGUAACGGGCUCACCAAGGGCAUCGACGGGUAGCUGGUCUGAGAGGAUGAUCAGCCACACUGGGACUGAGACACGGACCAGACUCCUACGGGAGGCAGCAGUGGGGAAUAUUGCACAAUGGGCGAAAGCCUGAUGCAGCAACGCCGCAGUGCGUGGAGUGAAG
rnacentral:rRNA from 1 species